rnacentral:rRNA from 1 species
ACGUGUUACAAUGGGGGGUACAGAGGGCCGCUACCACGCGAGUGGAUGCCAAUCCCUAAAACCCCUCUCAGUUCGGACUGGAGUCUGCAACCCGACUCCACGAAGCUGGAUUCGCUAGUAAUCGCGCAUCAGCCACGGCGCGGUGAAUACGUUCCCGGGCCUUGUACACACCGCCCGUCAAGCCAUGGGAGCCGGGGGUACCUGAAGUGCGUAACCGCGAGGAUCGCCCUAGGGUAAAACUGGUGACUGGGGCUAAGUCGUAACAAGGUAUC